GACGAACGCUGGCGGCGUGCUUAACACAUGCAAGUCGAACGGAAAGGCCCUGCUUUUGUGGGGUUCUCGAGUGGCGAACGGGUGAGUAACACGUGAGUAACCUGCCCUUGACUUUGUGAUAACUUCAGGAAACUGGGGCUAAUACCGGAUAGGAGCUCCUGCUGCAUGGUGGGGGUUGGAAAGUUUCGGCGGUUGUGGAUGGACUCGCGGCUUAUCAGCUUGUUGGUGUGGUAGUGGCUUACCAAGGCUUUGACGGGUAGCCGGCCUGAGAGGGGGACCGGCCACAAUGGGACUGAGAUACGGACCAGAAUGCUACGGGAGGCAGCAGGGGGGAAUAUUGCACAAUGGGCGGAAGCCUGAUGCAGAAACGCCGCGUGCGGGAUGACGGCCUUCGGGUUGUAAACCGAUGUCGCAUGUGACGAAGCGUGAGUGACGGUAAUGGGUAAAGAAGCACCGGCUAACUACGUG
rnacentral:rRNA from 1 species